rnacentral:rRNA from 1 species
UACGUAGGGGGCAAGCGUUGUCCGGAAUCAUUGGGCGUAAAGAGCGCGUAGGCGGCCCUGUAAGUCCGCUGUGAAAGUCAAGGGCUCAACCCUUGAAUGCCGGUGGAUACUGCAGGGCUAGAGUCCGGAAGAGGCGAGUGGAAUUCCUGGUGUAGCGGUGAAAUGCGCAGAUAUCAGGAGGAACACCAGCGGCGAAGGCGGCGCUCUGGGCCGAUACUGACGCUGAGGCACGAAGGUCAGGGGAGCAAACGGG